rnacentral:rRNA from 1 species
CCUACGGGAGGCAGCAGUGAGGAAUAUUGGUCAAUGGACGAGAGUCUGAACCAGCCAAGUAGCGUGAAGGAUGACUGCCCUAUGGGUUGUAAACUUCUUUUAUAUGGGAAUAAAAUGUUCCACGUGUGGGAUUUUGUAUGUACCAUAUGAAUAAGGUUCGGCCAACUCCGUGCCAGCAGCCGCGGUAAUACGGAGGAUCCGAGCGUUAUCCGGAUUUAUUGGGUGUAAAGGGAGCGUAGGUGGAUUGUUAAGUCAGUUGUGAAAGUUUGCGGCUCAACCGUAAAAUUGCAGUUGAAACUGGCAGUCUUGAGUACAGUAGAGGUGGGCGGAAUUCGUGGUGUAGCGGUGAAAUGCUUAGAUAUCACGAAGAACUCCGAUUGCGAAGGCAGUUCACUGGACUGCAACUGACACUGAGGCUCGAAAGUGUGGGUAUCAAACAGGAUUAGAUACCCGAGUAGUC